ensembl:snRNA U6 U6 spliceosomal RNA
GUGAUCACUUUGGCAGCACAUAUACUAAAUUGGAAUGAUACAGAGAAGAUUAGCAUGUUCCCUGUGCAAGGAUGACACACAAAUUUGUGAUAAGUUCCAUAUUUUU